rnacentral:rRNA from 1 species
AUUAAACGCUGGCGGCAUGCCUUACACAUGCAAGUCGAACGGCAGCACGGGGGCAACCCUGGUGGCGAGUGGCGAACGGGUGAGUAAAGCAUCGGAACGUGCCCUGGAGUGGGGGAUAACGUAGCGAAAGUUACGCUAAUACCGCAUAUUCUGUGAGCAGGAAAGCAGGGGAGUCGCAAGACCUUGCGCUCUGGGAGCGGCCGAUGUCGGAUUAGCUAGUUGGUGGGGUAAAGGCCUACCAAGGCGACGAUCCGUAGCGGGUCGUGAGAGGAUGAUCCGCCACACUGGGACUGAGACACGGCCCAGACUCCUACGGGAGGCAGCAGUGGGGAAG